UGUUCAGAUCAGUAGAUAGCA
rnacentral:miRNA from 1 species